GAAGGCAUCCAGUCCUUGUCCUAAUUAGCCACGGUAGUUUAAAGCAAAAAAAAGUAGUGCUGGAGGGGGGGGAGGGGAUCUACUGUUGAUUUAUCAAUUAUGGUAUUUUCUAUUAUACCAAAAUGAUGCAGAAAGGCUUUGAAAUCCAUCAUCCCAAUGCCAGUUUCUGCAGUUAUGAAAAAAAUGCCUAUACUGACAACAAAGUCCAUUUCAUGCUCUUGUAUUCCACUUGACCUUCUAUCUUCUCAGUUUAAGGAUUGUGGCCUGAGGCCACCGCCGUGUCAGUCACCCACAUGUUAACUCUGGCAACAAACCAAGUAUUGAAUUCUUGCAGAAACGCCGAAAAGAUCGUUAGAAAAAAAGAAAAGCUUAUGUGUACAUACAUACUAUGAAGAGCAUUUGAGUGAGCAAACCCAGAAGGUGGGUUUGAGGACGGACCGGGCUGCAAGCUUCCAACCUGCGUAGUACAGAAGGACUCUCAGCAACUGGCCCAAGAGGAAACUGAAGAUGACUUGGUCCUGUGCUGUAGUAACAACACUUCACUGCUUUGGAAAAACAAUAAAAAGAAGAAAGAAAAAAGAAAGCAUUGAGAGUUCCAACACCAUAAAAAGAUAAGAAACAGAAUGUAUUUUGAGUGAAAGUGGAAAAGUCUUGUGUUACGCAACACAGUCAUGCAGAAAUCUCCAAAACAGGUGUGUUCAUAACAGCAUGGCACUGAGCAUGGAUUAAUUCAUUACAGCUGAGAUACUCCUAGGUUCUGAUUGGAAUAGUUUGUGGGUACAUCUUCUCACAGAUGUUCCAGCUCAGAUAUGUUACUGCCUCAGGCCUGCACUUGUACCAUUGGUUCUUGUGGUUUGGCUGAACUGGAGCAAGAGGAACAGAAAGACACAAGGAUUGUUUGCAAAGAAAAACAUAUAGAGGGGGAAAGUAGAAGCAGUUAAACAAAUAAAGAGGUAUUGAAGAGAAGGAAAAUCAAUGAGUCAUAAGUGAACAUGGACGAACUUUCAGAGGAAGUGAUGCAUGCAUGUAGAUGGAUAUUGGAUAUUACAUAGAGGGUAUUUCAAUGCUGGCAUUUGAUUUGAAAGAACAACCAGGCAGGUCCACUUUCUCUCCCUACUAAUUUACAUGAGAUUACUAACUCUCCUCUAAUUUGUAUUAGGACAUUUCAAAGCUCUGCGUGAUUUCCAAAGGCAAUUUGUGCCAAUGGGAAGGUAUACACACAGCAUAUGAAUGAGUACAAGGGAACUUGAUCAAAAUUCCAGUCUCAUGUAUUUUUUCUGAACACUUGCUGCACUCCUUUCAGAUCUGGAAAAUUGCAGGCUGACAUAUCUCUGGAUUUUUUAUGUUGUGCUUCUUUUCUCCUAAGAUCUACGCCCUACUGGUUCUGGGAAACUUGUGACCUCUGCAUUUUUAAUUAGAACUUGUAACAUUUUCCAUAGCAACAUAUUUUGAUGUCGCAAAUACAGAACCUGUCAAAUCAAACAAUUUCAAAGUGCAAAGCUACGGCCUUCUGGUCAAUUGAAGUCCAAGUACAUGAAAACACUGAGAUGCAAGGAAGACUGAAAAUUAUUUGUUGGUUAACUCAUAGCUUUGAUCUUCAUAAUUAAUAAAUCAGUACAGAUAUAAAAGAAUUACAUUGCAUGCUGGAGUGGUUUAGAUGAACUCAGUACUAAUUUCAUCGCACGUGAGAGCAGAUAGAAUCCAUCUGUCUGACUGGUGUGCCAGUACUAACAUGGUACAAAGGAGAGGAUCUAUUUCUAGGAAAUAGUCGAGAUGUGGAACAAACUUCACUCACAUGAUGAGCUGUGUGAGCAGGAAGUGAAGAAAACAGAAAUCCUCUGAAACGAGGCCUGAGCUCAGAUUUCAACAGACCCACAAUAUGAGCAGGAAUAAUAAUAAUGGGUUAAGAAAAGCAGUGUAACUUAGCACUUAAAUAUGUAUAUUAAAAAUAAGUCAUUUAUUUAUGAUACAUGCCCUGCAAGUGCCAAAUAAUACUUCUGUCAAGUCUGAAGAACAUAAACUGAGAAUUUUUGUCAUUCAGAUAUACUUAUCUUUCCUUUUCCUGCUUUAAGCUAAGACUAAUGGCCAAGGAAGUCAUAUUUUCCUGCCAUUACUAAGACUGCACAAGGUAAUUUGCCCCUCUGCAAGGACAUCCACGUGUAACUGUUAGUCACACCAGCAGCCACGAGAUAUGGAUAUGAUCAUCAAGUCUUAUUAAAACAAAUGCUGAAUACCAUGAACCUUUCAGGAGGAAAAGGCAAGUGUCAAUGUGGAAUGCGGUAAGAACUUUCUUGUUUCUGGUAGCAUUGGGUAUGUGACUGCUAUCCCUUUUCUUAUUCCAUCUAUUUCCACUUUUUAC
rnacentral:lncRNA from 1 species